GUCAGUGGUUACACCAAAGUUGAGGGAUUCACAGUGAGGUGCGGAUCUACUGAUUGCUUUAAAGGGCCAAAUUUUAAUCAUCGUUUACAGCACUAUCACGAUAACAACAUCCAACUCAUUAUAACUUUGGUUAAAAGUUUUUCAGCUCGGUGUCAGCCAUGUUCCACAAGAUAUGGUCUUCGGAUACCAGCUUGAUAAGCUGCUCGUUCUCUGAGGCAGGGAAGCGGUCAGCCGACAUUUCUGUAAAUUCACAGUGCACACCUUAAAUAUGUGCACUGUCAGUCCUAGAAGGAAGGAAGGAAGCAAGCUGGGGUUUAACAUUCCACUGACAAUGAGGUCAUUAGAUACUGAGCACAAACACAGACUGCGGAAAUAUGAAGGAAAUUGGUCACACCCUUUCAAAGGAAUCAUCCCGGUACUGACCCUCAGCAAAUUAGUAAAAUCAUGAAAAAUUUAAAUCUGGAAGGACAGGUGGUAAUUUGAACCCCUGUCCUUUUGAAUAUGGGUCCAGUGACUUACUCUCCAUUGCUGUAUUCAUUAUCAUUGCAACUUUUAAUUUUUUAUAGGCAAAAUGAGGCCAUCUGAUGGGAAGAUUAGAAACAACACUCUGUUCCUUCAGAAUCAUUCAGUAUUUAUUUAUGUAAUAAAUAAGCUCUACAGUGGUAUGUACAUAUAAUUUACAUGUUUAGCACUACUGUCUAUCAGUGUUCAAAUGAAGUUUCUCUGUUAAGUGCUGGCGCUGUAUAAAUAAAUAUAUAUUUUCUGAGAACCUUUGUUUUUCAGAUAUCUGAAAAUCACAAAAUUUCAUCCACACAUUUGUUGAUCUUUUGAAACAAAUAAAUUGUUACAUCAAACAUUUUCUGGGCAAUAUUUUCCACAAUCUUUAGAACAUAAAUAGUGAAAAACUAAUUGUGCAAU